GACGAACGCUGGCGGCGUGCCUAAUACAUGCAAGUUGAGCGCUGAAGGUUGGUACUUGUACCAAAUGGAUGAGCAGCGAACGGGUGAGUAACGCGUGGGGAAUCUGCCUUUGAGCGGGGGACAACAUUUGGAAACGAAUGCUAAUACCGCAUAAAAACUUUAAACACAAGUUUUAAGUUUGAAAGAUGCAAUUGCAUCACACAAAGAUGAUCCCGCGUUGUAUUAGCUAGUUGGUGAGGUAAAGGCUCACCAAGGCGAUGAUACAUAGCCGACCUGAGAGGGUGAUCGGCCACAUUGGGACUGAGACACGGCCCAAACUCCUACGGGAGGCAGCAGUAGGGAAUCUUCGGCAAUGGACGAAAGUCUGACCGAGCAACGCCGCGUGAGUGAAGAAGGUGUUCGGAUCGUAAAACUCUGUUGGUAGAGAAGAACGUUGGUGAGAGUGGAAAGCUCAUCAAGUGACGGUAACUACCCAGAAAGGGACGGCUAACUACAUG
rnacentral:rRNA from 1 species